rnacentral:lncRNA from 1 species
GGACAGACACUGACUGCUUCCCCUGCUUUUGCAGUUGACCACAGCAGAGUGGAGCUGUCCCUGAUUACAUCGGACACAGAUUCUCAUUACAUCAAUGCCAGCUUCAUCAAGGGUGUCUAUGGGCCAAGAGCAUACAUUGCAACCCAGGGUCCUCUCCCCACUACUGUCACUGACUUUUGGAGGAUGAUUUGGGAGUAUGAAGUCCUGGUAAGGUGCAAAUUUGUAUUUAAAUAUAAAUUUCAUUUAUCCUUUUAUUUUUAAGAAAAGCUGUCCUUACAGCCAGAAGUCCAUUGUAGGCCAGUGGGAGUGUCAGGGUUUCACUGCAGAUGCUGUAUGUGUCCCACAUCUCUCCUGUCAGCCUCCCCCAGCUCGUGCCAGGGCAGGAGUCUGCUGGUGGCUGUCCCUGCCUUUGGGAUCUGGCUGGGGAUGAUGUGCCAGGCUGUGGGUGACGUCCCAGUGUGACUCAUCUGGCAGCUGGGCUCGAGGGAAGGCAGUCCACAGGGUUUCUUUAUCACUGAUAAGUACCCACAAGAGGUGAUUUUAAUUUUGCUGCCUGGAUAAAAAAAAACUCAUGUUCAGACUUUUCUAAUGAACUUUCUUCCUGCAGGUCGUGGUCAUGGCUUGUAUGGAGUUUGAAAUGGGGAAGAAGAAAUGUGAGCGGUAUUGGGCAGAGGUAGAUGGCUCCCCCCUGCACUGUGGCCCUUUCUCCAUCACCUGUGUGAGUGCAGCACCUCAGCACCUUGUCCCACCUCAGGGCACCCACGGAAAAUCUGACUCUGACUCCUUCUUCUGCAGCAGGCUGAGGAGAAGAGGAAUGAGUAUGUGAUUAGAACUUUAAAGGUGACCCUGAAUGAGGUAAGGAGGAAAGGUCAAGGCAGAAAAUGUACCUGGGAUGGCUUUGUUUUAUAAAUAAUGUAUUAAAAUACGGUACGUUUUGUGCAGAAAAUUUUACAUUGCUCAGGCAGCUGUAUUACAUUUGACAGCAGUUGAGGGAACAAAGAAAGUAAAAAAUUGAUUAACUCAGACCUCAGUUUCUGAAAGUGUUUGUCAGUCAUGGCAAAUCAGAUUCUGGGUAAGUGAGGCCAAGAACGUCUUAAAACAGCUCUUGCAGCUAAACCAACUGCAAACUUCUGCUCUGCCCUUUGCCAGC